CAGUAGCCGCGGGAAUACGGGGGGGGCAAGUGUUAUUCGGAAUGACUGGGCGUAAAGGGCACGUAGGCGGUGAAAAGGGUGGAAAGUGAAAGUCGCCAAAACACUGGCGGGGUGCUUUCUUGACCAUUUCACUUGAGUGAGAUAGGGGAGAGUGGAAUUUCGUGUGGAGGGAUCAAAUCCUAAGAUAUACGAAGGAACGCCAACCGCGAAGGCAGCUCUCUGGGUCCCCACUGACGCUGGGGUGCGAAAGCAUGGGGAGCAAACAGGAUCAGAGACCCCCGUAGUCCCUGUCUCUUAUACA
rnacentral:rRNA from 1 species